CUUUGUGGUAUGUAACUUACAGUUUUUGACCAAAUAUUAUUUUAAAUUUGUAGUCUCCAGACAGUUUUAUAUCAAAUACCGGACCAUUUCAAUAUUUCCUGAGUGGUGAUCCUAACAAGCCCUUGGAAAAUUCCUGUUUUCCUGAAGAUGUUCAAGGACCACCUGGGAACGGCAACACUGGCACUCUGCAGGUGGUGGCAGUCGAAGGAAGAGGUGAAGUAAAGCACGGAGGAGAAGACGGCAGAAGUGACAGUGGUGCCCCACAGCAUGGGAAGCGAGGUGGAGAAAGCGAGGGGUUCUCUCAUGUCAGAAGAGCGAGAGGGCACAGGAUGCCACAUCUGAGUGAGGAGACGAAGGGCCAACAGGUGGGCAGUGGAGGUGAUGGUGAGCGCUGGGGCUCAGACAGGGGCUCCCGAGGCAGCCUCAGUGAGCAGAUUGCUCUUGUGCUCAUGCGACUGCAAGAGGACAUGCAGAACGUCCUGCAGAGGCUUCAUAAGCUGGAAACACUCACUGCUUCGCAGGUCAGCAGCCACCUUUGCCUCACCCUCUUUGACCAUUUGCGAACCCUGUAAGGUAGUAUGUAAUCUCUAUUGAUCAGAUUUACACAGGGCACAAAUUUCCACAAAGCUUUC
rnacentral:lncRNA from 1 species